rnacentral:tRNA from 1 species
UAUCUGACAACCUAUUUUAGGCGUUGUGUUACGGCCACAACUGCGGGGUUUACCCUGUCAGCGAU